rnacentral:rRNA from 1 species
UGGGGAAUCUUGCGCAAUGGGCGAAAGCCUGACGCAGCGACGCCGCGUGGGGGAGGAAGGUUUUCGGAUCGUAAACCCCUGUUGCCCGGGACGAAUCCACCGAUUUUUCGGUGUUGACGGUACCGGGUGAGGAAGCACCGGCUAACUCCGUGCCAGCAGCCGCGGUAAUACGGAGGGUGCGAGCGUUGUCCGGAAUCACUGGGCGUAAAGGGCGCGUAGGUGGCUUGGUAAGCGUGUGGUGAAAGCCUGGGGCUCAACCCCGGGUCGGCCAUGCGAACUGCCGAGCUUGAGCACUGUAGAGGCAGGCGGAAUUCCGGGUGUAGCGGUGGAAUGCGUAGAGAUCCGGAAGAACACCAGUGGCGAAGGCGGCCUGCUGGGCAGUUGCUGACACUGAGGCGCGACAGCGUGGGGAGCAAACA